rnacentral:lncRNA from 1 species
CUGAGCUCCUCUCCGUGUUCAUCUCUUCCUGGUCAGUAAAGGUUGAUGUGUUAAGAGGGUGGGCACUGGGGUCUCCUUUCUUGGUGGGAGCAGGAAGGAGAUGGACAGGGCCAUCCUGUGACCAUCAGCCAUUGCCAGCUUUGCCUUUGGGACCACAGAGCCCAUCUGCUUCCUCUGCAGCUCCCCCUGCCCCACUAGCCUGUCUGGGUUUGGAAUCUGCUCCUCUGGCUGAAUGGUCUCCAGGUUUCCAGCUUCCCUUAGCGUCAUGGGGCUCCAGGCUCCUCCCAUUCCCAGCUCCUGCUGUGGGCUCCCCAAGUCCGUCUCUAUCCUCUCACAGCACAGGACCCAGGCUUGGCCAGUGGGUCCCCAGGUGGGGGUGGGAGUGGUCAGUUUGUGGCCCACGGCCAAUAAGAGAUGGCUAUUCUAAUGGUGCCUGGCUGACCCCAGGGUCACUGUGGGCUGAUGUAGCUGCUCUUCUGCCUGACCCCUGACCCUGAGUGUGUGUGCGUGUUCCUCUUCCACAACUCUUCAGGCAAAGAGAACCUUGACCCUGCAUCUGUCUGUCCCCAGCCCAGCCCUCCUUUGAGGCUCAUGCUGUGACACAUCCCUGUUUUUCACCAAAUGGAGGGAACAACCACAGAUAUUUCCUUGUGCACGCAGGACCCUGUGCUAGGGCUGAGGGCUUUGUCUUUGUCCUGCUCUGGAAAGUCUCACAGUUUGAUUGGAGAGCUAGAUCUAAACUCAGAUGCAGGCCAUGACAACGCUGUGGGGUGCCCGGCCAUGGGGCUCCAGGCAGGAUCAUAACCCUGAGAACAACAAUGAGGUUUGAAAGAUGAGCAGAUGUUGUUUAUAGGCAAAAGGGGACAGGCACUCCUGGUAGAAGAAACUGCUUUUGCAAAGGCCUCGAGAACAGAAGGGACUGGCAGGUGGAGGAGCCGAGAGAUGGAGGAGGAGGCAAGGCCAGAUCCUGAAGGGCCUUAAAUGCCAGGUUGUGGAGUUUGGCUUUAUUCUGUGGGCAGUGGAGAACCAGAGAAAGGUUUUCAGUAGGAGAGUGACUCAGAAGUGCAUUUUAGAAAGAUCCCCCUGGAGAGCAGGGAAGUGACUGCAAGGGGAGAGGGUGGGCAGGGAUUAUUCUAUGGGUGAUGUGCUGUGCCCUGGGCUGGGCGAGGAGAGGAAUUCAGGAGAUCUGUGGGGGCUCUGUUCAGCAUCACCCUCACCCACAACAGGUAUUGGGUGGAGCCUCUGGCAGGGGUGAGCUCCCUGCAAAGGUGAGCAAAACAGCUAUCUGAGGAUGCCCAGGGAGGAGAGGUGGGAGGAAGGGAGAGAGGACAGAUGGGAGGAGGCUCUGCACAGAGCCUGAGGACAGCCCUCACCAGGUUACAGAACACAAGGCUUGACCCCAUUGGCUUCCUGUAGCUGUCCUGCUCUCCCAACUUAAUGGUUUCAUUUUGCAUUUUAUUUAAAUUUCACAAUGAUUCUAGCAGAUACCAUUAGUCUAUUCUGCAGCCAAGUUGUCUAAGGUUUGGAGAGGUUAAGUAAUGCACCAAGGUUAGGAUUUGAGCCCUACCUGUCUGAUUCCCCUCCGAGAGCUGUCUGAUUCCUUUCUCCUCCUCUGGGAUAGGGAAAGGAGACUCAGAAGGACGGGGUCUCCAUCUUCAGUCUUUGCAAGACUAUUGUAGGGCAUUGGGAUGGUGAGCACAAAGUGGGUUGAAGCCCCAGAGAAAGAGCUGAGAGCUGGGAUCAACUGUGUGUGUGCAUGUGUGUGUCUGUGUGUGUGUGAGUUGGAGUAGGGGGCAGGGAGAAAAGAGUGGGGUGGUGGUGGCUUGUAGUGCAGCUCAGGGCCACCAGGUGGUGUCCAG